AAAAAAAAAAAAAAAAAAAAAAAAAAUCCGAAAUGGUUUCCAGUCGGUUUUAUUAGUGGAAAAGUGCGGGCAGGAGGCGCCGCAGGGCACGCUCGGCCGGCGCCGCUCCACCGCGUGCGGAACUUUGCCCAAGUCGGAGCGCGGCCCACUCGCGGGUCCCGGGCCCGGCUGCGCGGCGGGGAGGCCGGGCCGGGGCUCGAACCCCGGACGCCGCCGGGGCCCAGCUCGGCCUGGCCCGAGGGGCGCGUGGGGGCGGGGAGCGGGCCUGGUCGCGCGGCCCGCCCGCCGCAGCCCCCUCCCCGCCGCCGAGGAGGGCGCACUUACCGCGUCGGGCUCCGGAGGCGGCCGGGGGUCACGGCGGGGCGGGGCGGCCGGGCGGCGGGCGGCGGGCAGGCGGGGGGCGGGGGCCACCGGGCCGGGGACGGGGAUGCUCGGCCCCACGGGCGCCCCCAACCCCUCCCCGGCAGCCUCACCCCGGGCGCCGGCCGGCGCGGAGCCGGCCACUCCCCCUCCGUCAGGCUGCACCGGGCCGAGGGGACGCGAACUCGGCGGGCAGCCCUGGAGGGGGCGGGCGAGCUGGCGGGGGUCCGGCCGGCUCGCCCGUCAGUCCCGGCGCGGCGCGCGCGGCUGCCCGCCCCGCCCCCGCCCGCAGGCCCCGCCCCCGCCCGCAGGCCCCGCCCCGCCCGCAGGCCCCGCCCCCUCCGCGUCGGGCCGCGUGCCCUGGGAGACCGGAGACGGCCGCCGCCGCCGCUUGGCGCUUUCCCUUCGUCGCCCUCCCACAGCGCGGCGCGCGCGGACGGCCUGGAUUCAGUUUAUGCUACUUUGAACUACCUGUAUGCUGUCCUUGAGGAUUGAAUGUGGUCAAUCUCCUUCACAAAAUGACAUUUGCUUAGUAGAUCUUCAGUAUGUCUCCACAAUAAAUAAAUAAAAAAAAAAUCCAGUGCUAGCAUGUGGUCCAGAAAACUGAUAAGUCGUCAACACAAAAACAGGGCAAUUAUAGAAGCGGCCUGGGAUGGUUGGGAGAUCUCUAGGGAUCCGUUUUGUACCGUCCCGCUUGAGGAAGUGGUAAAGGAAAAGCAACAUAAUAUAAAACAAUGAAGCAUUGACAAGACCGCUUGCUCAAAGGGAAGUGGAUGGGCCUUCUCAAAACUUAGAAUCAGGAAAGACAUCACAAAAUCGACCACUGAGGGCUCUGAUUACAAAGCACAGGAUAUAUUUUUUAUCAGAGCUCUGUGGUUGUGACUUCCACCCCACCCAAACCCAUACUUUUUGCAACCAUACCUAUACGCACAAGCAAAAAUUACUUCAGUGGCAUUGUUUUUAAGUACAGAAGGUAGUUGUGUAAACCUUCGACCAGAAUUUUUGGGAUUUGGUACUACUUUUCAGCCCUUGGUUGAUUUUUUUCAGUGUUAACAUUUGUGCACAGUGACAGCAAAUAACAUUCUUCUAGUUUCCCCCCACCCCCAUUUGUUGUUUAGUUUUAGAAUUUUAAUUCAGCCUUUCUCUUUUGGGUCUGUAGUAAGAAAGAUUGGAAAAACAUUGUAGUUGGGGCACUUGUGUGGCUCAGUGUUUGAUCCUCUGCCUUUGGCUCAGGGCGUGGUCCCCGGGUCCUGGGACUGAGUCCCUCCCUCUGCUUAUGUCUCUGCCUCUCUCUGUGUGUUUCUCAUGAAUGAAUAAAUAAAAUCUUAAAAAAAAAAAAAACAUUGCAGUCAGAUUACAAUUGCAGUAAAAAAUGAAUCCUACUUUAAGACAGGAAUUCCUCUAAACCCUUUCCUUUUAUUCAUGUCAAACAGAUUGUCACAAAAUCUGUUUUCUUUGAUUUCUUUGAUUUACUUAUUUGUAUUUGUAUUUUCAGUUUAAUUGCUUUAUCCCCUUGAUAAUUAAAUAAAACAUUCCUCAUGAUCUCGUACCCUGCUGCUGGCCUCAGCUCCUACCUUGCUUGUUCUCAGGCUGUUCCCCACAUUGGACUCCUUCUGCCAACACACCAAACACUUGCCAGCAAAGCCUUUGCUUGUCCCUCUGUCUGGAAGGCUUUCAGCUUAAUCUCGUGACUGUCUCCCUUUUCCUUCAUGUCUCCUGUCCUGACUAGCCUGUGUAAACCUGCAAACUGUGCCUCCCCUCACUCUCUAGCUCCUCAUUUCUCAGCACUUAGCACCACCUGACAUAUAUACUACCUGUCUCUGUUCCCACUAGAAUGUGAACCCCAUGAGAACAGAAUUUUGCCUGUUUGGCUCAAUGUUACACCUCAGUGUCUAUUAUUUAUCAAGUCUGUCACAUAGUAGAUACUCAACAAAUACUUUUGAAUGAGUGAAUGGCUUCACAUAGGAGAGAUGGCGGGUAUUCCUUUUUGUAAUAGUCAAAGGGCUUUCGUGCAAUUCAUCUUAUAACUGAGUCUUAGGACUUAGAUGUAUUGAUAAGGUCUAAAAUAAAGCCCACUUUCACCCUACUUAAUAUUUGAAAUAACUGUUUUUAAUCUCCUUUUCUGGCAAUAUACUUUGGAACAGGGUUUGAAAAAGUGUUUACAGCUAAAAAUUUAUGCUGAGAUUUUACAACUUGGCCCAUAAAUGGAUCCAUGGGAUCAGAGAGUAAUGAUAGACCAGUAAAUCCUGUCAAAGGCUUAAUAUUUUUCCCUGAGAUGAAACAAUAUAGCAGUGAUCAGAAGUGGAAUAAUUGAGCUUAAAUGUGAUGACUGAUAACUUGAUAGAUAGUAUUAAUGCUCUUUUGUUAGUUACUCUAAUAAUUUUAAUUGAUACUUGUGUUGGUGAAGUUAGCGAUGUUUUAAUCUGGUUAAAGUGCAGUUCUGAUAGAGAGCAAA
rnacentral:lncRNA from 1 species